ACUGGUACAAGCUGGAGCAAGCGCAUACUGCGUGAACGACAAGGCAACGGAGGACGAUGUGAAGACAGUGGA
rnacentral:rRNA from 1 species